rfam:Nicotiana sylvestris Nsyl_contig138004, whole genome shotgun sequence.
UAGACAGAUUAUUGUAUUCGACUGUAUUCACGAUAUGUAUUUGUGAAUACAGUAACGUAAAUAGCGCAAUUCAUGGUCUAUUCAGCUGUUGUUAAACGGAAAGUGAAUUAAUUAACACAAUAGACUCCU